AAAGAACAAAGGAGAAACUAAUGCUAGAAAUAUCGAUACAAAGACUGUGACAUUCUUUGACUUUGGCGGACAGUGUGCAUACUACGCCUGUCACCAGAUUUACCUGACCAGGAGAGCUUUCUAUGUUGUGGUGGUGGACGCCUCUAAACGUUUUGACCAAAAGGUGGAUAAGAAAGUGUGUGAUCAAGAUGGGAGCGUUUUCUCUGGAUGGACGUAUGGAGACUACUUCGUUUUCUGGAUUAAGUCUAUACACACCUACUGUGGUUCUGACAAUAAAGAAGAUCCAAAGCCAACAGUUCUAAUUGUUGCCACUCAUUGGGAAAAAGAAAACAGACAGUUUGAGG